rnacentral:lncRNA from 1 species
CAACUAUUCCUUCCUCCUCCAGCAGGUGAGUCAGAAUCUGUACAUGCAAGAGAAGAGUUACAAGGACUCUUGAGUCCUACACUGGGAACUGGGAAACGUCACCUGUGUGGUAUUCUGUUGCUCAAAGCAAUGACAUUAUCAGCUCAGAUUCAAGGGAAGGUGAAAACAGACUCCCACUCUUCGAGGAAGGAGUCACACAGAAUCGUCACUGUGUUUGCCAUCGACCACGAUGACAUUUUCCUUCUAGGCUGGGGUCACAUAGGUAUUUCGUAACUGCAGUGCCUAAUCUGGCUCUAACAGAUUGUUAGUUACUUAGCCGUGUGGCCUUGGGCAGUUACCUAACCAUUCUGGGCUUUGGUUUCUUCGCUUAUAUCAUGGAAAAUCACGCUUAUCUUGCCCAAUAAGAUCUAGAGGGAGAGGAUAUUUUAUGAUCAGUCCUUGAAACAGAGCCAGGCCUGGCUGCUCCGGCUGGGCGUGUGCGUCUGUGUCCCACAGUACAGUCCUCUGUAAUCCAUCAAGGCCUGGCCAUCCCUCAGUAGAUCUCUCCUAUUUUUCCAAGAAAAACCCAAGAGGUUUGGCUGGAAACUCUCGGGAUCCUUUCACUCGAGUCCAGGAGCCCCUUGUGGAUUCGUCAUUUGUUCUGAAAGCAAACCUGGAGAUUCCCUGACCGACACAGCCUCGGGGAAGGCCCCUCCUGCAAAGCUCCAUCACGUUCAACAGACACGGCCAGGCGGCUCGGGGACGUACCGGAGGCCACCAGCUCCCAGGGAGCAGGAGAGAGCUGUGUCCUGACAGCGGGGGGCGGGGUCUGUGCAGGAGUCUCGGACUGCUCAGUGCCCCGCGUCCCUUCAGGGGACCCUGGUCUCCCCGCAGCAAGCAUGUCACCAGCCUGGGGAAGCCGAGGCCAGACAUUAAAAGAAGAAGAGAACGAGGAGUCCAGUCUUUGACCUUCGUGUUCCUCGAAUGAGCUCUGCCACUUAGUUAGACCGCCUGGUCCUGGUUAUGAAGUGUGGACUUGGUAAGGCAGGACCUGUGACUUGUCACCUCCUGUAGGCUAAAGUUCUGAGUACCACGGCACUGGGGGCUGGGUUACGAUGUAGGAACCAUGGGGGGGGGGCGGCGUGGAAAUGUACAGCCAGACCACUGAGAAAGAAGGUUCUGGAACUUUCCAAAGUCACCCCAAAGUGAAUGGCAUCACUGGGAUUCGAACCCAGGCAGACAUGAUCAUAAUGAUGAUGGCGGUUACUAUUCGACUUCCUGUCCUUCUACGAACUCUGUGAGCCAUUUCACCAAGGAGAACCUGAGUCACACGGAAGUGAAGUGACUUCCCCUGAGAUCACAGAGGCAGCAAAGAUCAGUACCGGCUAGGAUUCGCACCCAGGGCUGGCUAAGUCUCGGCCAUGGUGCUGUGACCGUCCCCCUGGGGUUGAGCCCUCUGGGAAAGCUCAUGAGAUGAAUGAGCCGGUGGGUGAGUGGGCGGGUCUCAGUUAAAGAACCUGAGCUCAGAGCAGCGGGUCCCCAGGGACGGAAGAGUGGCAGGACAUGCAGAUGGCCCCCAGGCAGACCCCUGGGAAAAGCACUCCCUUCCUACCAAGACCCCGGGAGACCCCUGCUGGCCCCUGCUCCUGGGUGUGGCACCGACACCUUUCCUGGUGGGGAAGGGAAGAGAGCGACUUAGGGGAAUGUGUCACCCUCUGCCUGCAGAGAGGCCACCAGACUCUGGGUGAGGCUUAGUAAUGACCCCUGACCCCCCCCACACACAGAACAGCCCGGAGCAGCUAGGAAGGCAGGUGACAAAUCAGGGUCUCCUUCUCCAUCCCCCAGAACAGAAAGAUGCCCUCUCCCUCCUGAAGGCAGGGUUUAAACCACAUCGUCCCCCGUGCUGUGUAGGUCCCUCCACCCUGCUAGUUCUCUGUAUCCUCACGGGGGCCUACCUUUAUCUCCCACAUGGAGAGGCUCACGUGGCCCCUCUCCCCUGCUCAAAGCCUCCCCUGGCUCCCCGGCAACCUCAGAAUUAGGCCUAGAGUCCUCCCUGUGGUCCACGAGGCCUGACCCCCACCCCGAGACCUUGGGGUCUUCCCCUCCCCUGCCACAGACUCCAUGCUAUCUCUCCCCCACCCCGAGCACACUUGUGCCUCAGGGACUUUGCACGUGCUGUUCCUGCUGCCUGGAGACCUCCUGCCCCAGGUAGGCUCAGGUCUUAUUCUCCCAGCUCCAGUGGGUCUCUGAUGAGGUGUCUUCUCAUCAAGGAGGCUUUACUGGCCACCCCAGCUUCCCUGUCCCUUCUGCCUGUCCCUUGUCCUGGUUUUCUCCCUAGCACUAUUACCCCCCUGACGCUGCAGAACAUCAGCCUCAUGAUCACAGGGCCCUGGUGUGUGUUUAUUCUGUGUCUCCAGAACCGAGCCCAGGGUCGGGCUCUUCGUAGGUGCUCAAUAAACACUUAUUGGACAAAUGAAUGAAAAUGACUAUUAGAGUAAGAUGAAUGGCCCUGUUUCACAGAGGAAGAGUCUGAGGUUCAGAAGAGUCUGAGGUUCUUGACACACGGGAGUCUCAAAUGUCCUCCCCCCCCCCAAAAAAAAAGAUAGAAGAAUCCAAAUGAGGAAGAAGACAGUUUUACAGAGUACCUGAUAUCCUGGCAUAGAGUCCUCUGUUGUUGACAUUUUAGACUCUUUCUUCUCUCUGGUCAAUAACUCCUUGACUCUCCUGUAUAUUUAUGUCUUUUUCCCCCUGGAUCUGCUUAUUUCCUUAAGAUUUUAUUUCUUCUCUCCUUUCCUCAGUUUCCCAGUUUCGUUCACUGGAUUCUGCAGGGCUUACGUUCAAAUAUCAGCAUCAACGAUGGCUUUCUUGAACAGAUCUCACUUUAAUCAUCUUUCCAUCUGUGUGGUUGGUGACCACAUUUCAAAACUAACGCAGAUUGAUUUUCUUGUUUUCCUGGUUCCGUUGCUCAAUAUCUGUUAUCAGACCGCCCAUCUCCUCACAUUGGGCUUCUUUAUUUUGAUUCAUUGCUUGAUCAAUGGGGCUUGCCUUGGAAGUUUUUGUCAUUAUCAUUAUUAUUGAGGACAUGCAUGUGGC